UCUUUCUGGAGAUUCUUUCUCUGUGGAGUCUUUCCUGUAAACCUAGUUUUUUAGAUACAGCUGUCCUGCUUUCCCUCUUGGUCAAGAGCCAGUCAAGGUCUGAGGCAGUUUCCCAUAUUAGUCUCUUCAAAUCUCGUGGUUUCAAUGGCAAUAAAUAGGAGUCAUUACCUCUGGAGCAACGUCCGUAUGCCAAUUCCAGCCCUGAAUUUAAACAUCCCACAGACAUCUCAACUGCUUUUUCUUGUUAUAUUGUACUUUGACUUUUAUUUAGGAACAAAAUAAACUGGUUACGAUCUUUCUUCUUUUAACAGAAAUAUCAAUAAAAUUUAUGCAAUAUAGUUCAGACAAUGAAGUAUACAGAGUAUUUUCCCUUCAAUAUAUCUUGAUCAUAGACAUGCUCAGCCUGCCAACCAACAUUUUUGAUGACUUUUUUUUUUGUAGUGGGGGGGAGAAUGUAUUUACAGACAAAAUACUUAAGAACAACUAAGGAUUGGAAAGAAAAAAGUAUUUAGACAUGGGCUUAACUACUUUGAUGGACAUUGAAGGCCUGACUUAAUGUUAAUAAAAUCUAUGUUUAUAUUUCAGUUAAUAGAAGCUGGUAUUUUUCCUGUAAGGAAGGGGAAAUACAAGUAGGAUUUCCUGUAAGAUAAGGACACAAUAUGAAAUAUUCUUUAUUUGGAUUUUCCAUAUGUUUCUUCCACUUUUCAUGUCAAAAUCAGAAUACCUUGCUUUCAUUGAGGUUUUGUGCUAUUUGUUGUGUUUGAAAAUAAGAAAACCAGUAUUGGCAGUGGGGUCAAAUCUUUAUCUGAUCAAAGAUAAUGCAGUAACUGAUAAUGUGCUCCCAUCAACUUGGUUUCAGUGUUUAAAAAGAAAUCUAUAUGUUCAGCAUAUAUCUCAAUCUGAUCCAAAUCUUUGAUUUAUUAGUAUUGCUAGUAAUGAGAGUGUAUCUCUAUUAUUAUAACUUGUGUUCAUUGCUGGAGUACUAGAGUGAGUUAGGGUUUGUUUUUCAUUUUGCUAGGUUUUUAUUGGUCUGCAUCUUCAUUUUUUUUUUCCUGUUGGUCCCAAGAUGGCAUUUCUUAACUCAUUCUGUGAUAGCAUCUCUAGUAAGACAUAAGUUCUUCUUGCCCUGUAUUUUGAUUCUGAAUUCAUGGGGGAGAAAACAAACCUUAAAUAUUAUUGUGGGUAUAAUUCAUAUUUAUGAUAUGAAAAGAUCCUCAUUAGCUGUUGCAGUUCAAAGCUUAUUCUAUAUUAUAUUAACAUAUUGGUUGUUUCGACUUCUUAACAGGCAGUAACUUCAAACACUAACUUCAAGCUUUCAUUGAGAGCAUAGAUUCUAUAGCAACCAAGUAACAGUAAGGUUUUUUUUGUCAUCUGUUUGUUUUUGUAAUAAAAGUCUUGGUGCUGUUUAAUCUAAACAUAUUCUAGAAAUGCAGUACAACUGCCAACUAUGGCUGAUUAUGAAAUAGUAUACAAUAGUAACAUUUCAGUGCAUGUGAUAGGUUUUAAAUCGGCUGUUUUCCUUCUAUGAAAGAUUACAAAUUAGAAAGACUGGUUUCUUCUAAAGGUUUGUUUUGUUUAGUCUUUCAUUGAAUAGCAUGAUUGCAUUUAUGAAAUGAUUAAGUUAUUACAGACAAUUAGAAGUGAAAGAAGAAGCAUUAACAUACCUGGAGUUUUACUAUAUUUUAGUAACAGGAAGCCUGAGAAGAGAAAAAAUAUUAUAUUACAACCAAAACAAGUGUCAGUAUUGUGUAAGGCUAAAACAGGGUACUAAAGUGAUAAAUGCUAAGCAUUUCUAAGAUUAUUGCAUGAUUUUUUUUACAGUCAAAGGUUGAAAACAGCAUUAAACACAGUGUUACUAACAGUCAUUUUAAUGAUGUCUUCAUUGUCUUGGGUUCUCUUUCUCUCAAUGGCUUUCAAUGGUUGUCCUGCAAAACAACAAAAUACAUAAUUGCUAUGUGA